rnacentral:rRNA from 1 species
CCAAGGAGUCUAACAUGUGCGCGAGUCGCAGGGUGCUCGCAAAAUAAAAAAAACCCGAACCCCGAAGGCGCAAUGAAAGUGAAGGUCGGUGGUCUGACUGACCGAGGCGGGAUCCGUUCCGGGCAUCGAUCGCAAAAUUUUUUGCGGCGAGCCCGGCGGCGCACCGCCGGCCCGUCUCGACCGCUUCUCGUCGGCGAGGCGGAGCAAGAGCGCACACGUUGGGACCCGAAAGAUGGUGAACUAUGCUCGGGCAGGACGAAGCCAGAGGAAACUCUGGUGGAGGUCCGUAGCGAUUCUGACGUGCAAAUCGAUCGUCGGACCCGAGUAUAGGGGCGAAAGACUAAUCGAACCGUC